CCCAAACCUCUGGAUCCCAGCAUGCAAGCACAGUCCUGGAAGUCAGGAGCUGUGGUUUUCAGCCAUGUAGGGCCUAAACAUUGCUUGUGUCCAGGACAAAAUAUUUGUCUGUAUUUAUGUAAAUGCUUAGCUUUACAGGGUCUGUGCUUACUUACCUUGAUAAGUGCUUCUAAAAAUAACAAUAUGGACAUUGUGACAUUUAUGCACAGCAUUCAUAUAACAUCUGUUACAACAUCUAUAACACCAUGCUGGAAUUUAUGGAGCUAAACCCUGGGGAAUGUCUUUGCACCAGCUAGGAACAGACAAGAUAUGUACUUUUGAAAGAACCCCUUUGCAUUCAGGAUACUUUCAAGCUGCUGCUUACUAGCAUGUUACCCUGUGUUUGACUCAGCCUGAAACACAGUAUAUAAUACUGGUAUUUUCAUUUUGUCUCACAUUUGGACUGUGCUCUGCUUCUGCUACUGUAAGUUUCUGUGUCUAUGCAGUUGGGAAUAUGAAAUUGGGGAUUUUUGAAGGUCUGAAGGUCCUUCAGUGUCAAAUUACUUUUGGAAUUCUACUUCAGCACUUCCAUAGGGCCCCAAGUAUUCUUGGCAGUUUACAAUAGUCCUUGUCCCAAAGCAUUUAAAAUACAUUUCAGAUGUGCCGAGAAUAAUAAAUCUGGAAGGAGGGAGAGAAAAAGAAUGAAAUAAUCCAGGAUAUAGUUACUGUAUCAGUGAUUAUACGGGUACACUUUAUUUUUAGAGCAUUUAAUUAUUUUUUAUUGACUUACAUUGUGACAGCAUAAAGAAUGUUUCUAGAAAUCAGAUUUGAAUUAGAGAGUUUUACAUGAAUUCUGACUGUUUUUGAAAGAAAGAGUUACAAACACUAGACUUCAUUAUCCUGUAGAAAGACUAGAAAAAAAUGGUUUAUUCAUCUUCUUUUCUUCAGUUACUCUUUUCCAAAUAUACUGAUGCAUUUGCCCAUCUGUGAUGGAAAGUAUAGAUAACUGAGAAACUUUUGCCUUAUGGUUAGUGCAAAGAAAACAGAACAUAAAGUUCUGCUUUAUUAUAAGAAGAGGGAUGCUGCAACAUUUGAGCAAGUAUCAGCCAGAAGCUGUUUAAAAAACCCUAAACCAAAAAAUUUUUAAAAUAAUCUGAAAUAAUGGGAAAGCUUCUACUUGAAAAAUUUAAAACUUUUAAAAAACAACAACCUUGGAUCAUGUAGAUUUGGUGCCUACUCACUGGAACAUCAUCAGAUCUCUCUUGUUUUGCUUGGGCCUCACUCAAACAUAACUGGCCUCAAGCUAGUAAGCAAGCCAGAAAAUGUCCUGGCUUGUAGAGAAAUCUGAUCCAACUCUGUAAACCAAACCCAGCCUAAGAGCAGUGGUGAGGGGAACAUAUGGAAAAUUAAUGACAGAUAAUAGAAUGGUGGGACAGACUUAAAGAAAAGAUUGUUGAGUUUAUGCAACAAUGCCAGCUAAUGGUUUUCUGAGUUAAGAAAGUUAUAGAGUAUCUGAGCAAUAUUUUUGACUUAGCCAGCACUUAAGCUCUAGAAAGGGCUGCUGUGUUUCUCCUGUCCCAUUGCACAUUCUUGAUACCUGUAGCUGCUGGUUCAGCUGCAGCAGCACUUUGGGAAGCACAGAGAUCCUGGUCCCCACCUGUUUAAAUAAAUGAGAGCCUCAGGAAGAGGAGUGCAUUGGAAUUUCCUUGGGCUCAAACUGGGCAUAACAGCUAAAGCCAGGCUGAGUGCUAGAAGCCUGCCCGAGCACUGGGAGGAGGAGAUGAGGGUAGUGUAUGUGUUUUCUUUUUUUCUCUGCAGACCUCCAGGCAUUUUGCAGAGAUAAGGUGCUUUGUGUAUGAUGUCACAGACGGGGAAAUAGUCCCAGGGAGCUCAUCCUUUCACAACCCCUCUCCAGUGAAGAAACUGGAAAUGGAAACAGAAUGAAUGGAAAGAAUUAUUGUGGUGAAAGUGCAUGUAUUUCUGGAAUACACAAAUCAUAUAUUUAUUUGGGUGAUGGCCUAGGAUGUGCAUUUAGGGUAGACUGUGAAAUGUGACACCUUAGAGUAGCUAUUUUGUACCAAGAGAAAAGUGAUCCUUUUCCCCUCAUUCCUCCACUUUUGUUUUAUUGAAGACCAGCUAACAUCCUAACAUUCUUCCUGCCUGGAUCCUAAAACGUCUCUCUCUCUUCCCAUGGCUGCAUCCAUCCUGCUGCACAGGCAAAUGUUGAGGUUGAUUUGCCCACUUGGAGACCCUUUAGGCCAAAAGUUGUGCAACUCGCCUGUUCAUCUGGGUGUUAAAACAACUCUUGUGCCUUUCAAUAUACUUAUUUUUUCUUCCUGAACCUGUUGCCUGUUGCCUUAGGACCCUUCCCAGAAAAACAUUGGGGAGGCUGUAGAGAAGACCAUGCUUACCUCAGAUUCCUGAAAAGCAGGCACUGAGUGUCUCUGAGGUCAGCUCUAAGCUUCUCUCCCUGCUCAGCUGAGAGGACAAAUGGAUUUUGCCAAUAAAAGUUGUUCAAGUUUGUUAAACCUGUUCUAAUCCUUUUUGGUUCCUGAGGAGGAGUAAAGCAGCCUAAAGAUACCAGAGGAGAAUGUCUUGAAUGAGUUAGUGGGACUGCACACAGAAAACCAGGGACUGGGCUGAAAUAAUAGAAAAAAAGAACAUUCAAAACUAAUAAAAUAGAAAUCAGCACAAUCCUAUUCACGUUCUGAAUAUCUCGUCUCUCCUCUCAUCACCUCUCCUCUCUAAUGUAGAAGACCAAAGAAUCUUAAUUCUCAACUUCUGUAAGGUACCAUGCAAACAAGGGCUCUUAAUAAUUGUUUGUCACAAUAUUGUUUGGUUUUCCUUUGAGAAAAUGAUAUUUCAAUGGUGUUUGUUUAAGUCAUAGCACUGAGCAGAGGAUCCCUGAGUUUCAGUAAGAUUGUAUCAAAAGGAAGGUGCAAAACCCCAGGUAGCCUCAGAUAUUUGUUUCUAUGAUGUUUAGGUACAUUCUUGUUUCCAAGACAGAGUGACUCUUAUAAGCACAGAGCCCUGGGCAGCUUCUACAGUUUCUCUGUAGAAACACCACCUCCCCAGACCAUGGGCUUG